CCUACGGGAGGCAGCAGUGAGGAAUAUUGGGCAAUGGACGCAAGUCUGAACCAGCCAUGCCGCGUGCAGGAAGACGGCUCGAUGAGUUGUAAACUGCUGUUGUACGAGGGUAAACGCAGAUACGCGUAUCUGUCUGAAAGUAUCGUACGAAUAAGGAUCGGCUAACUCCGUGCCAGCAGCCGCGGUAAGACGGAGGAUUCAAGCGUUAUCCGGAUUGAUUGGGGGUAAAGGGUGCGUAGGCGGUCGGCUAAGUUAGAGGUGAAAUCCCGAGGCUCAACUUCGGAAUUGCCUCUGAUACUGUUCGGCUAGAGCGUAGUUGCGGUAGGCGGAAUGUCUGGUGUAGCGGUG
rnacentral:rRNA from 1 species